GCUCCCGUAGUUCAAUGGAUAGAACAAAGGUGUUCUAAGCCUUUGAUGUAGGUUCGAUUCCUGCCGGGAGCA
rnacentral:tRNA from 1 species